UCUUGUCUUUGCAGCGCACCAUGAGUGGCUGCUCCAGUCUCUUGAGGAACUGUCCAUCCAGGUUCUGGCUCCAUUCACUAAAGUUCUUCCUCACCAACUCAUCCAAAACCUGGAUCAUCUGGCCAUUGGUGUAAACUAUCUGUUUGUAGCUGUACGACUCAGACAUGAAGUGGGCCUUCUGAAGCAGCUGGAGGGGAAGGAAAAAGGACCAAAGAGGAAAAAGUCAAAGAAGGAGGGUUCACCUAAACCAUGAAUAUUGGAUGUUAAAAUUCAACCAAAGCAGAACCAGUAUGGACAGAGCUCCUACUACAGUAGUUUACUUUGCUCACUCCUGAAGGACUGAGACUAAAAGAAAUAAUAGACUCACCUCCAUGGGUCUCUUUAAGCGAUGUCUUAGGGCCCUCACCCAGUGGGCCUGGCCUGCCAUCCGUGGCAUAUGGUCCGGAUAACACCUUGUCCUCUGGUUCAGCUCCUUGUUGACCAAUUUGAACUCCUGGUUAAAGAUGUUGUACACUUCCUCCACCUUCUCUUCUGUUGUGCGCUUAAUGGGCUGAAAUAGGUGAAGAACAGGAGAGGAGAAUUUGAGUAACUUACACUUAAGGCCUUUGCACGUCAGGAAGAAGACAGAACACAGACAGAGAGGGAGAGCAACAGUCUGGAGACCAAGAGGGAGGACAGCUCAGCCACUUCAGGCAGCCACAGUGCCAAAAACAAGACGUGGGCAGAGAUUGCCGACAGUAUUGGGAGUUUCUUCCAGUGGAGAGAAGCAAGGGAGGAAAGAGAGGGAGUGAGAGACAAAGCGACAGCAGCGUCCGGAGCUGCAGAAAGAUGUUAUCCUCACUGCUUGACAACUCCAUUAUGUCCCACAUUGUAUUGUAUUUGCAACAAAUAGAAUCAGAUGACAGAUUAAGAAAAUGCAUAUGAACAAUACAUGCUUGGUGUACAAAGGGCUUAAGACCUGAGACAAAUUUGGGGGUUCUCAAGGAGAUCUAAAUACAUAGGGAUAAACUAUACACAAAGCCUAAUAUGGGAAGUCAUUUUGCCCUCAAUCAAUUAAAGGACUUGAAUGUA